GCAUCUAGACCAAUUGAUCAUGACUUAAUUACAUGUGGUUUUUCAUUGGAAUCUAUUAACCACCUACUCAUCAACUCUUAUUGCUUCUCAAGGAUUGAACACACUUAAGGAUGUCAGAAUGAUCUAUCAAAUGCAUCUAAUUUUAGUGUAAGAUUAUGAUUUAUCAUGCUACACAUUUUCUUUUGAACCUUUGACUUAUCAUUUCCAGAUUUCUAAAGGCACGAGGGUUCAAUAUUGAAAAAGCUACUCAUAUGUGGUCUGAGAUGCUCCAGUGGAGGAUCAACUUUGGUGCUGAUACUAUCAUUCAUGAUUUUGUAUUUGAUGAACUCGACGAAGUCCUCCAUUAUUAAGAUUUUGAACUCUACGCCAUAGAUCGCCUCCGAGUCCUGCAGGGUAUUUCAGAUGGUUUG